GGGGAAUUUUCCGCAAUGGGCGAAAGCCUGACGGAGCAAGACCGCGUGGGGGAGGAAGGCCUUUGGGUUGUAAACCCCUUUUGUCAGGGAAGAAGACAGUGACGGUACCUGACGAAUCAGCCUCGGCUAACUCCGUGCCAGCAGCCGCGGUAAUACGGAGGAGGCAAGCGUUAUCCGGAAUAAUUGGGCGUAAAGCGUCCGUAGGUGGCCCGGCAAGUCGGUUGUCAAAGACCUCAGCUCAACUGAGGAAAGGCAAGGGAAACUGCAAGGCUAGAGUGCGGUAGGGGUAGAGGGAAUUCCCAGUGUAGCGGUGAAAUGCGUAGAGAUUGGGAAGAACACCGGUGGCGAAAGCGCUCUACUGGGCCGCAACUGACACUCUUGGACGAAAGCUAGGGGAGCGAAUGGGAUUAGAUACCCCAG
rnacentral:rRNA from 1 species